rnacentral:rRNA from 1 species
GAUGAACGCUGGCGGCGUGCCUAACACAUGCAAGUCGAGCGAUUCUCUUCGGAGAAGAGCGGCGGACGGGUGAGUAACGCGUGGGUAACCUGCCCUGUACACACGGAUAACAUACCGAAAGGUAUGCUAAUACGAGAUAAUAUGCUUUUAUCGCAUGGUAGAAGUAUCAAAGCUUUUGCGGUACAGGAUGGACCCGCGUCUGAUUAGCUAGUUGGUAAGGUAACGGCUUACCAAGGCGACGAUCAGUAGCCGACCUGAGAGGGUGAUCGGCCACAUUGGAACUGAGACACGGUCCAAACUCCUACGGGAGGCAGCAGUGGGGAAUAUUGCACAAUGGGCGAAAGCCUGAUGCAGCAACGCCGCGUGAGCGAUGAAGGCCUUCGGUCGUAAGCUCUGUCUCAGAAGAUAAUGACGGUACUUGAGGAGGAAGCCCGGCGUAACUAACGUGCCAGCAGCGCGGUAAAGUACACGUCG